UUUAAGCGCAGCUAUGAAUUUCCGUGUCCAACUUUAAUCAUCCGUCUUAUUUUUUUUAUGAUUACUAUUUUUAUUGUUAUUAUAUGAUAAAACAUGAAUAAUACUUCAUGCGUGAUUUAUAUUUUUAAUUUUUUUAAAUAAGAUGAACAAUUAAAGUUAGACAUGAAAAUUUAUGGUUGCGUUUAAA
rfam:Oryza punctata chromosome 9, whole genome shotgun sequence.